AACCCUCCUCCUCUUCCUCCUCCCCGUCCCAUCUCCCUCCCUCUCUCCCUCACUGUUUCCCACCCUCUCUCUCUCUCUCUCUCUCUCACACACACACACAUAUACACACACACACACACACACUCUCUGGGAGUGAGUGGAUGAUCGCAUGAGCAGGAAGCGCUGACCGAACACAGAUAGAGAGAGAAAAAGAGAGACAGAGAGUCCGAGAGAAAGAACCCAACAUUCACAUUUUCAGCUCAUACUGAGAGAAGACAAACUACAUAGCCACUGCUGUGCUCUUUCCACACUGUUAUGUGGAAGUAAUUUUGAAAAGCAAAGCUCCUCUCCGUUACUUUGCACUGGGGACAUUGUUGUUUCUUAUUCAAAUAAAUUGGGAUAUUCCGUGUGACAUGUUGCCCUCGUUUCCACAAGAAUUGUGUCUUUCUUCUGAGUGCUGCUUGAACGUGCAGUGCUCAAGCUGUUCCCUGAUAAAGGCUGUUGCAGUUCUCAGGAGGGAAUGACUGAGCGCUAAGGAACCAGGAUUGCUUGCACGUGUGGGACAGUUGUGAAGAAGCAUUUGGAGGCAGAAGAGAGAAAACUGCUCAAGAAAACAUAAAGGAAAGAAAGAAAGCAAUAAAGAAAGAAAUAAACAUAAAAUACUGUUUUGCCGCAAAAUGGAUCUCCCUCCUUUUAGGGUGUCUAUUUCAGUCCUUCCUGGGGGUCGGAUUCAGCACAUCCGGAAUCUCAUACAGUUUAUUGUCAUUCAAUCCCACUGAGUUCCCAGAGGGGCGAGAGGGGCAGAUCCCAGGGUCCUGGUGCCUGACAACACAAGACCAGCCACAAUCAAGCCUGGCCUCUAGGAGCGUAUAUAUGCCCUCUGCGAAGCCCUCAGCCCUUACCCCCUGCGACUACCAGCUAAUCAACCCACAGUCAGCAAUUGCCAAUCUGCCACUCUAUCGGAGUCAGAGAGAGAGCAGAAAUGGAAAAUGGAUAUCUCUAAUGACAGUUAGCCUGCAGGAAGUCAGACUGGCCUUAUGGCUGGCUGCAGAAUUGCUAGAUGCUUAUCAGCAGCAGCAGGGGUCAAUGAAAGGAGACUGGAGACUUUAAAAUAGCACCACAGCAUGAUGUCAUUGGCCCACAUCCCAUCAGCCCCCAAACAAACGGAUGGCAUCAGCACCUCAUUCACCUGAAGGCC
rnacentral:lncRNA from 1 species